AGAUCCUGAAACCGUGUGCCUACAAGUAGUCAGAGCCCGUUAACGGGUGAUGGCGUGCCUUUUGUAGAAUGAACCGGCGAGUUACGAUCCCGUGCAAGGUUAAGCAGAAGAUGCGGAGCCGCAGCGAAAGCGAGUCUGAAUAGGGCGCAUGAGUACGUGGUCGUAGACCCGAAACCAGGUGAUCUACCCAUGUCCAGGGUGAAGUUCAGGUAACACUGAAUGGAGGCCCGAACCCACGCACGUUGAAAAGUGCGGGGAUGAGGUGUGGGUAGGGGUGAAAUGCCAAUCGAACCUGGAGAUAGCUGGUUCUCUCCGAAAUAGCUUUAGGGCUAGCCUCAAGGUAAGAGUCUUGGAGGUAGAGCACUGAUUGGACUAGGGGCCCCUACCGGGUUACCGAAUUCAGUCAAACUCCGAAUGCCAAUGACUUAUCCUUGGGAGUCAGACUGCGAGUGAUAAGAUCCGUAGUCGAAAGGGAAACAGCCCAGACCGCCAGCUAAGGUCCCAAAGUAUACGUUAAGUGGAAAAGGAUGUGGAGUUGCUUAGACAACCAGGAUGUUGGCUUAGAAGCAGCCACCAUUUAAAGAGUGCGUAAUAGCUCACUGGUCGAGUGACUCUGCGCCGAAAAUGUACCGGGGCUAAACGUAUCACCGAAGCUGCGGACUGUUCUUCGAACAGUGGUAGGAGAGCGUUCUAAGGGCUGUGAAGCCAGACCGGAAGGACUGGUGGAGCGCUUAGAAGUGAGAAUGCCGGUAUGAGUAGCGAAAGAGGGGUGAGAAUCCCCUCCACCGAAUGCCUAAGGUUUCCUGAGGAAGGCUCGUCCGCUCAGGGUUAGUCGGGACCUAAGCCGAGGCCGAAAGGCGUAGGCGAUGGACAACAGGUUGAUAUUCCUGUACCACCUCCUCACCAUUUGAGCAAUGGGGGGACGCAGGAGGAUAGGGUAAGCGCGGUAUUGGAUAUCCGCGUCCAAGCAGUUAGGCUGGGAAAUAGGCAAAUCCGUUUCCCAUAAGGCUGAGCUGUGAUGGCGAGCGAAAUAUAGUAGCGAAGUUCCUGAUUCCACACUGCCAAGAAAAGCCUCUAGCGAGGUGAGAGGUGCCCGUACCGCAAACCGACACAGGUAGGCGAGGAGAGAAUCCUAAGGUGAUCGAGAGAACUCUCGUUAAGGAACUCGGCAAAAUGACCCCGUAACUUCGGGAGAAGGGGUGCUCUGUUAGGGUGCAAGCCCGAGAGAGCCGCAGUGAAUAGGCCCAGGCGACUGUUUAGCAAAAACACAGGUCUCUGCGAAGCCGUAAGGCGAAGUAUAGGGGCUGACGCCUGCCCGGUGCUGGAAGGUUAAGAGGAGCGCUUAGCGUAAGCGAAGGU
rnacentral:rRNA from 1 species